ACGUAGGGUGCAGGCGUUAAUCGGAAUUACUGGGCGUAAAGCGUGCGUAGGCGGUCUGUUAAGACAGGUGUGAAAUCCCCGGGCUUAACCUGGGAACUGCGCUUGUUACUGGCAGACUUGAGUGUGGCAGAGGGGGGUGGAAUUCCACGUGUAGCAGUGAAAUGCGUAGAGAUGUGGAGGAACACCGAUGGCGAAGGCAGCCCCCUGGGCCUGUACUGACGCUCAUGCACGAAAGCGUGGGGAGCAAACAGGA
rnacentral:rRNA from 1 species